UACGUAGGGGGGCAAGCGUUUGUCCGGAUUUAUUGGGCGUAAAGCGCGUGUAGGCGGCCAGAUAGGUCUGCUGUGAAAACUCGAGGCUCAACCUCGAGACGUCGGUGGAAACCAUCUGGCUAGAGUCCGGAAGAGGAGAAUGGAAUUCCUGGUGUAGCGGUGAAAUGCGCAGAUAUCAGGAAGAACACCUAUGGCGAAGGCAGUUCUCUGGGACGGUACUGACGCUGAGACGCGAAAGCGUGGGGAGCGAACAGG
rnacentral:rRNA from 1 species